rnacentral:lncRNA from 1 species
UUGGAGCCCUUUAACAACUCAUGAGCUGUUUUUUCUUCUUUUUGGCUGACACUCAUGAAAAGAAGGGGUGAUCUCUCUUGUUUGCUGGAGGGGCAAUCCAAGAUCAAAGCAUGUGAUACACACAAACAUUGCUCAUUUUGGAUUAUGAUGAAGAUCCUUAGUUGGCUGUUUUUGACGGUGGGUUGAACACCCCAGCCUUGAUUUAUUAUUUUUACUCUGCCAGCAAAUAGAUAUUUUCUGUGGUUGCAAUUAGAGCGUGCCAAAAUGGUGCUUUGGUCUUGAGAAACGUGUUGUACAGCGCCAGCCCCACAGCAACACCAUUUUUUUUAUCAUAAGCUUCAUGCAAUAGAAUUUGGACUCAUAAUUCAAAUUCCUUGUUUUGCUGCAUGUAGAGUUGCAGCCCAUCCCUUUUUCAUAAUCUUGGAUUCACUUUGGACAUGCAAGUCCGUGAAGUCCAAGACUUCUUUUUUUCUUACUCUGCUGCAAGUCAAAGAGGAAGAAGUCCUCUUCCUUUGUUUCUUUCCUUUUUUGGCAGACCCGAACCUGCAUCACAUAUUUUUAGUUCUCUUGAUGCUAACAACAGCAGUUGGUAUAAAUUUGACCCCCUUUUAUUGUUUCCCUUUUUGUUAUUGCCAUGUAUUGCUAAAGGCAUCCUGGGAUGGAAGCAUUCGAGUAGCCAAGCUAUAUGACAAUCUUGCUUGCCGUUUGAGAUGAUGAAACCGUGAAGAAAAAGUGAUUGUGGCCCUGCUUUGCUCCAGCUGGACCCCUCACGUAUUGGUGCCAUUAACAGGUGUCUUUCAAUUUGAUUAAGACACCCAAAGGAUAAAAAUCCUUCUCCAAGUGAAGUAUGGAUUAAACUCCUUAUUGAUUUGGAACUGGUGGAUCAUCCAGUGAAGUAAACUUCUUGUCCACAUAGGAUUGGGUUGUCUUCCUUAUAAAAAAAGAAAACAUGUGUGCACCAGCAAACAGCCACAAAACGAAAGUCUUAACAUUAUUCUUCGUUUGCUUCUCCAGACCAGCACAUAGCUUUGCUCAAGCCACCUGUUGCACCAUCAAACGGAAGCGGCUUUUACGUGGUAACCCACAUGCCAUUCCUUAGUUCUUCUCUUUUAUUUUAUUUAUUGAUUGAACUAACUAGGACUUUUGUCUGCAUGGACAGCAAUAGCAGUAGCGAUAGAAGAGCCUCCAAUUAAUUGGAUGCUUCUAGGCUGACUUGGAACCAAAAGAGACAAACUCUCUUAUUGUCCUUUGUGUGCUGUAACUUUCCCAAGGUCAAUAACUCAAGAAAUCCUCUUGCCUUUCACGUGGUAAUCCCCCCCCUUGAACUCCUCUUUUUCUUUGAUUUUUUUUUUUUUGUCUGUUUCCAUGCUUCUGACCUCUUGUCUUCUCUUUUGUAUGUAGAGACUGUGCUGCCAGCUUGAAGGCUUUGGAGUUUGGUGGAGGAAACCACCUGUCAUUUUGCUUCAGAAACCCAAGAGAGAACUUGUGGUACAUGCCUUGCCAGCUCCUUUUUUUUUUUUUGUGUUUGCUGUUGUUGUACCAUUGUCCAUGUCCUUUUCUUUUUCCCAGUCAUAAUAAACCAAAGAAAUAUUCAAGAGAGGGAGGAGGGGCUGUGCGAUACAGCCCCCCUUUUUUUUUAUUUCAUUACCUUUUUAUGUCCCUUGUAUUACAAGCCUUCGCUCUUUUGAUUUUGAUCCCAUGGUGGGUUC